CUCUUCAAGCCACCGUCCAUGUUACACUGCGACAGUAGCUCACCUUCGUCGUCGAGCUCGAGCUUCGCCGUCGUCGUCUUGCUCGCAGUCUCACCUCCACCUUGGAUCUUCUUUAUCCUCGUCGCGAAUCUCCCACCGCUCGAGAAAAAGUUAAGGACCCCUAUGAGGUCCUACCAUUGGACAAAGAAAAAUUAAUUUAGCUAAAUAAAGUUUACAGUUUGAGUCAGCCCAUAUGGUGAAGCUUCAUCGUCGAAGUAAACGUAGGGUUUUCUUCAUAGUUUCAUACAGAUCUGGAAAACACAGCUUGAUCCUUUGUCUUUUCGUAACCUGUUUAUUUCCGGCAAACUCUACAUCUCCCCAUCUUUAAUUACUUCAUCAUUAAUGGUCCCGAUUCGUAUCACCUACGUAAAAUCUUUUUACAUAAACUUCAUCUCUAAUGGAGCAAAUCUGCAUCUCGAAAAAACUGAUCGAUUCCUUUACCAGUUUAACCUUACAACAUUUUUUCGAAAAUGUCUCUUUCUGCUUCUCCAUUUACUCAAACUGGCGUCCAUCACUCAAGCUUUAACUGUAGUUGGCUGCCUCCUCUGCUUUUGGGAUUCCCACAACACUAUGGGAAUCACGCUCUCUUCCUUGAUGAAAAGAAUUCCGUGAUCCGUCCUCUCAUACAUGGUAUUUGAGAUUCUCUUCCGUCAAACCUUAGAUCACUCCUUGAAAGUGUCUUCGUCCUCUGUAAUUGCUGCUCCUCACACCGGCCACCGAAUCUUACUUUUAGCCGAGCAUUGCUACCAUCAAAGCUUUCACAACCAGGUACUACGCCAGUCUCACUUUUUAAAAACUGCCAAAAAAAUUAAGUAAUAGUUUAUAUCAAAUGCUUCCUUGCUAAAUCUUAUUAAACAGAUGCUUUGGUAACCAUGUGUAGGGAAUUUAACAUCAUAUAUAUAGAUUUCUACUGUUUACAGCUUGAGAGGUGCGGCAACAGAGCUUUUUCCAUGUGUACAGACAAUGGUAGAGAUUCAAAAGAACGAACUUGUGACAACUGGAGCCAUACCUCUCCAAGUAAAUCGACCAGGUCACUUUGACUAUAUUAUGAUUUUUAAAUUUUAACAUAUAUUGUAUCACUUAAUCGCCUUAUUUGAUGUCUUCUCAAUGGCCUUUGUGAAGAUCCAGUGAGCUGGCUUCCUGUGCAGAGCUCGGAUCGUCAGUGUGCUGCAGAAAAAUGGAUGGUCUAUCUUUCUUGUAAAAUGUAACAUAUAGUGUAAUGCUCUCCUUAAAGAUCCAUCACUUUAAUAUUAAAUGCUAAUAAUGUGGGGAGAAAAUUAACACGUUAAUGAUGACUUAGAUCAUAAAUAAAAGGUCUACGUCCCUUUGUACUCUUAUGUGUUUGGUAAAUAUUUGACAUCA